rnacentral:rRNA from 1 species
CCUACGGGACGCAGCAGUGAGGAAUAUUGGUCAAUGGACGAGAGUCUGAACCAGCCAAGUAGCGUGAAGGAUGACUGCCCUAUGGGUUGUAAACUUCUUUUAUAUGGGAAUAAAAUGUUCCACGUGUGGGAUUUUGUAUGUACCAUAUGAAUAAGGAUCGGCUAACUCCGUGCCAGCAGCCGCGGUAAUACGGAGGAUCCGAGCGUUAUCCGGAUUUAUUGGGGUUAAAGGGAGCGUAGGUGGAUUGUUAAGUCAGUUGUGAAAGUUUGCGGCUCAACCGUAAAAUUGCAGUUGAAACUGGCAGUCGUGAGUACAGUAGAGGUGGGCGGAAUUCGUGGUGUAGCGGUGAAAUGCUUAGAUAUCACGAAGAACUCCGAUUGCGAAGGCAGCUCACUGGACUGCAACUGACACUGAGGCUCGAAAGUGUGGGUAUCAAACAGGAUUAGAUACCCGAGUAGUC